CGAAGCAGUCGCCGCCGCCGCCGCCGCCUCCUCGGCGCUCGCGCCGGCUGCUCCGCCGUAAAUGACUCGAGAGAGACACACACUCGCGUUCGCAGCCUUCCUCUCGGGUCCAGGAUUCAGCGCCCACCAGGGCAGGAGCGGGCGCCGAGCUUGGCGCGCUCGUCCCCCUCCCCUCCCCGAUUCCCCGUGGUCACGUGGCCCCAGAGCGCGCAGCCCACGGCUCGCGCGCCACGGAGACUCCCCCCCGCCUCCAGCUCCCCCUAGUCUGUCCACGUGUCCAUUCCGCAUUCCCGGCCUGGGGGCGCGCGCGGCUCCUUAACGAGACUCGGGCAGGGGCCGACCUCGCGAUUCAGUUCUCCUCUGUUUUACGUUUUAUUUUUCCUUCCUAAUGCAAGCUAGCGCUGGGAUCCAGUGGGGCUUGUGGCCGCUGCGUUUCUCCCGGGUAGAUGCCACUGCAGUCUCCGAUGUUCCCUUUCAAAGGAUGCAAGCUCCCCGCCGGCGCCGGAGGUGUUCUGCAGCCGUUCUGCCAGAGGCUCGGCUCCUCUCAGGUCCCGCCGUGUGGGAGCUCUCUGGUUCUGCGUCUUCCUGCGGUGCACGGAGGAGCGGAGGAGAGGAAGGCACAGCCUGGGGCAGACCCAGCCGGCCAGCCGUAGAGGGGUCGGAGAGGACGGGAUGCCUGCCUACAGAUCAGACCGGACAAGUCAACUGUCUAUCAGUCUUUGGAUCCAUGGCGGUGAUUUUACAGCAUCAGAGAAAUGGCAUCUUGUUUAUGGAAAACGGACUUGGAUCGCUCUUAAGAUCCCCCCUCCACCCUGGCUGCUGGCUGUGUCCCUGCUUCAGCUUGGCACUGGGACCCAGGAGACUGCUCUCGCCCCUCCCCAACCCCACAUCUGCCUGGAACCGGAGUACUUCAAAGCUGCCCAGGAGCCUGAAGGUCCUCGGCUUCAGCCCGUUCCCCUGGCCAUCUCUGAAAACUGGCAGGGUCUUCUCUGGUUAGGGUCGUCCAGUGACUCAGACACGGGCUUCUCUCUGCCCUGACUUCAUUUCUCUUCCUUCCUCCCUUCCUUUUAUACCAGCACUGAGUAUCUCCAGCAUCACAGGCAUUAUUGGCCCAACAGUGAGCAAGAGAGAAGUACCCCUUGCCUCAUGAAUUCCCACUCUAGAGGAGAAGGCAGAACACAGAGCUUCUACCCAGAGAUGGCUAUGACUCCUGGUGUUGCAUGCUUUUGCUCAUCUUAAGAAGACCUGUGUCAGGAAGGGCAAGGGAACCGUGAUUUCUGCCCUGCUCUUCCUGUACCUGCCGUGUGGACCUGCCCUUCAUGGACUGGGGCCCCCUGCUGGGUCAGUGUCUGAUCACCCUCUGAUCCUCCAAGUGCCAGAUUUUCCACCUCCCUGAUGCCAACAGCUCUCCUGAGGAGUAAAUACCCAAACAACCCCAACUCCAGGGCCUGUAACCCUUGGCAGUACACAUUCCAGGGACCAGGAGGAGAAUGCAUUUGGCAUGCGGAAAACACAGCCACGCAGUAUUCCAGUCCCAGUAUACCUCUGCCUUUCCUACCACGCAGUGGGCUGCCCUUAACCUCACCCCUGAGUCCUAGGCAAGGGGAGGACAGUGAAGCAAUGUCAGGUAGAGCCAAGGCUGGAGAGAAGAGCUGGCCUGUGUGCAUGUUUCUGUCCCAGUGAGCACAUGACCAACUCAAGGUGGUAUUAUCUCCUCUCCAGGUGGGGGCUGUGUGUCUUUUUGGGUAAAGGGUUGGCAAUGGAGCUGUCUCAGUUUCCAGCUCCUAGGUGAUGUUUGGAGCAGCCUUAGCCUCCUGCCAAAUAGAAUGGCAGUGAGUGAGUGCUAUAUCAGGCCCCAGUGACACUUGGAUGCACACCAAGAACCCACAUAGAAACAAGCACCCCUUUCUCCCUGACCAGCCCAGGGGACACCUGCCCUUUAGUAUGUCCCUGGUUUUUAGGAAGCCUGCCAGCAGCAGAAGACAGGUGUCAUGAAGAGGACAUUCCUGGGAUCGCCCCAGAUUCCUAGUCUGUCUAGGAAAUCCAGGAGGGCUCUAGAUUUCCUAAGCUAGCCUUCUCACUUUACAGCCACAAAAAAUUUGAGGCCUG
rnacentral:lncRNA from 1 species